rnacentral:rRNA from 1 species
UACGUAGGGUGCAAGCGUUGUCCGGAAUUAUUGGGCGUAAAGAGCUCGUAGGCGGCUCGUUGCGUCAGCUGUGAAAACCCACGGCUUAACUGUGGGCUUGCAGCUGAUACGGGCGGGCUGGAGUUCGGUAGGGGAGACUGGAAUUCCUGGUGUAGCGGUGAAAUGCGCAGAUAUCAGGAGGAACACCGGUGGCGAAGGCGGGUCUCUGGGCCGAUACUGACGCUGAGGAGCGAAAGCGUGGGGAGCGAACAGG